rnacentral:rRNA from 1 species
CCUACGGGAGGCAGCAGUGGGGAAUCUUGCACAAUGGAGGAAACUCUGAUGCAGCGAUGCCGCGUGAGUGAAGAAGGCCUUUGGGUUGUAAAGCUCUUUUGUAGGGGAAGAUAAUGACUGUACCCUAAGAAUAAGGUCCGGCUAACUUCGUGCCAGCAGCCGCGGUAAUACGAAGGGACCUAGCGUAGUUCGGAAUUACUGGGCGUAAAGCGCGCGUAGGCCGUUGAGUUAGUUAAUUGUGAAAUCCCAAAGCUUAACUUUGGAACUGCAAUUAAAACUGCUCGACUAGAGUUUGAUAGAGGAAAGCGGAAUACAUAGUGUAGAGGUGAAAUUCGUAGAUAUUAUGUAGAACACCAGUUGCGAAGGCGGCUUUCUGGAUCAACACUGACGCUGAGGCGCGAAAGUAUGGGUAGCAAAGAGGAUUAGAUACCCUCGUAGUCCAUACCAUAAACGAUGAUUGCUAGAUGUUGGAAAUUUAUUUUCAGUAUCGCAGCUAACGCAUUAAGCAAUCCGCCUGGGGAGUACGACCGCAAGGUUAAAACCUUAAAUGAAUUGACGG